rnacentral:rRNA from 1 species
UACGGGGGGGGCAAGCGUUGUUCGGAAUUACUGGGCGUAAAGGGCUCGUAGGCGGCCAACUAAGUCAGACGUGAAAUCCCUCGGCUUAACCGGGGAACUGCGUCUGAUACUGGAUGGCUUGAGGUUGGGAGAGGGAUGCGGAAUUCCAGGUGUAGCGGUGAAAUGCGUAGAUAUCUGGAGGAACACCGGUGGCGAAGGCGGCAUCCUGGACCAAUUCAGACGCUGAGGAGCGAAAGCCAGGGGAGCAAACGGG